UACGGAGGGGGCUAGCGUUGUUCGGAAUUACUGGGCGUAAAGAGCUCGUAGGCGGCUUGUCGCGUCGGAUGUGAAAGCCCGGGGCUUAACUCCGGGUCUGCAUUCGAUACGGGCAGGCUAGAGUUCGGUAGGGGAGAUCGGAAUUCCUGGUGUAGCGGUGAAAUGCGCAGAUAUCAGGAGGAACACCGGUGGCGAAGGCGGAUCUCUGGGCCGAUACUGACGCUGAGGAGCGAAAGCGUGGGGAGCGAACAGG
rnacentral:rRNA from 1 species